rfam:Gossypium hirsutum cultivar TM-1 chromosome 6, whole genome shotgun sequence
GCCGUCUUAGCUCAGCUGGUAGAGAGCGUGGCUUUUAACCACGUGGUCGCGGGUAUUCCCACAGACGGCG